rnacentral:rRNA from 1 species
UCUGACGGAGCACGCCGCGUGAGUGAUGAAGGUUUUCGGAUCGUAAAGCUCUGUUGUUAGGGAAGAACAAGUACCGUUCGAAUAGGGCGGUACCUUGACGGUACCUAACCAGAAAGCCACGGCUAACUACGUGCCAGCAGCCGCGGUAAUACGUAGGUGGCAAGCGUUGUCCGGAAUUAUUGGGCGUAAAGGGCUCGCAGGCGGUUUCUUAAGUCUGAUGUGAAAGCCCCCGGCUCAACCGGGGAGGGUCAUUGGAAACUGGGGAACUUGAGUGCAGAAGAGGAGAGUGGAAUUCCACGUGUAGCGGUGAAAUGCGUAGAGAUGUGGAGGAACACCAGUGGCGAAGGCGACUCUCUGGUCUGUAACUGACGCUGAGGAGCGAAAGCGUGGGGAGCGAACAGGAUUAGAUACCCUGGUAGUCCACGCCGUAAACGAUGAGUGCUAAGUGUUAGGGGGUUUCCGCCCCUUAGUGCUGCAGCUAACGCAUUAAGCACUCCGCCUGGGGAGUACGGUCGCAAGACUGAAACUCAAAGGAAUUGACGGGGGCCCGCACAAGCGGUGGAGCAUGUGGUUUAAUUCGAAGCAACGCGAAGAACCUUACCAGGUCUUGACAUCCUCUGACAAUCCUAGAGAUAGGACGUCCCCUUCGGGGGCAGAGUGACAGGUGGUGCAUGGUUGUCGUCAGCUCGUGUCGUGAGAUGUUGGGUUAAGUCCCGCAACGAGCGCAACCCUUGAUCUUAGUUGCCAGCAUUCAGUUGGGCACUCUAAGGUGACUGCCGGUGACAAACCGGAGGAAGGUGGGGAUGACGUCAAAUCAUCAUGCCCCUUAUGACCUGGGCUACACACGUGCUACAAUGGACAGAACAAAGGGCAGCGAAACCGCGAGGUUAAGCCAAUCCCACAAAUCUGUUCUCAGUUCGGAUCGCAGUCUGCAACU